rnacentral:rRNA from 1 species
CCUACGGGCGGCAGCAGUGAGGAAUAUUGGUCAAUGGGAGAGAUCCUGAACCAGCCAAGCCGCGUGAGGGAAGAAGGCCCUAUGGGUUGUAAACCUCUUUUGUCGGAGAACAAAACCCGGGACGUGUCCCGGACUGCGUGUAUCCGAAGAAAAAGCAUCGGCUAACUCCGUGCCAGCAGCCGCGGUAAUACGGAGGAUGCGAGCGUUAUCCGGAUUUAGUGGGUUUAAAGGUUGCGUAGGCGGUCCGUUAAGUCAGCGGUAAAAGCGCGGGGCUAAACCCCGUCGAGCCGUUGAAACUGGCAGUCUUGAGUUGGCGAGAAGUACGCGGAAUGCGCGGUGUAGCGGUGAAAUGCAUAGAUAUCGCGCAGAACUCCGAUUGCGAAGGCAGCGUACCGGCGCCAGACUGACGCUGAGGCACGAAAGCGUGGGGAUCGAACAGGAUUAGAUACCCUGGUAGUC